GACAGAGGCCUCGAGCGUUAGGCGGAAUCACUGGGCUUAAAGCGUGUGUAGGCGGAUCGUUAAGUACCUUGUGAAAUCCCACGGCUCAACCGUGGAACGGCUGGGUAUACUGGCGGUCUUGGGCCAUUCAGGGGCGACUGGAACAAGCGGUGGAGCGGUGAAAUGCGUAGAUAUCGAGAGGAACACCUGCGGCGAAGGCGGGUUGCUGGGCUGAUACUGACGCUGAGGCGCGAAAGCCAGGGGAGCGAACGGG
rnacentral:rRNA from 1 species